GACGAACGCUGGCGGCGUGCUUAACACAUGCAAGUCGAACGGUAAGGCUCCAGCUUGCUGGGGUACACGAGUGGCGAACGGGUGAGUAACACGUGGGUGACCUGCCCUGCGCUUCGGGAUAAGCCUGGGAAACUGGGUCUAAUACCGGAUAGGACCGCACCGUGAGGGUGUGGUGGAAAGUUUUUUCGGUGUGGGAUGGGCCCGCGGCCUAUCAGCUUGUUGGUGGGGUAAUGGCCUACCAAGGCGGCGACGGGUAGCCGGCCUGAGAGGGUGGACGGCCACAUUGGGACUGAGACACGGCCCAGACUCCUACGGGAGGCAGCAGUGGGGAAUAUUGCACAAUGGGCGGAAGCCUGAUGCAGCGACGCCGCGUGGGGGAUGACGGCCUUCGGGUUGUAAACUCCUUUCACCAUCGACGAAGGGUUUCUGACGGUAGAUGGAGAAGAAGCACCGGCUAACUACGUGCCAGCAGCCGCGGUAAUACGUAGGGUGCGAGCGUUGUCCGGAAUUACUGGGCGUAAAGAGCUCGUAGGUGGUUUGUCGCGUCGUCUGUGAAAUUCCGGGGCUUAACUCCGGGCGUGCAGGCGAUACGGGCAUAACUUGAGUACUGUAGGGGAGACUGGAAUUCCUGGUGUAGCGGUGAAAUGCGCAGAUAUCAGGAGGAACACCGGUGGCGAAGGCGGGUCUCUGGGCAGUAACUGACGCUGAGGAGCGAAAGCAUGGGGAGCGAACAGGAUUAGAUACCCUGGUAGUCCAUGCCGUAAACGGUGGGCGCUAGGUGUGGGUUUCCUUCCACGGGAUCCGUGCCGUAGCUAACGCAUUAAGCGCCCCGCCUGGGGAGUACGGCCGCAAGGCUAAAACUCAAAGGAAUUGACGGGGGCCCGCACAAGCGGCGGAGCAUGUGGAUUAAUUCGAUGCAACGCGAAGAACCUUACCUGGGCUUGACAUAUACAGGAUCGCGCCAGAGAUGGUGUUUCCCUUGUGGCUUGUAUACAGGUGGUGCAUGGUUGUCGUCAGCUCGUGUCGUGAGAUGUUGGGUUAAGUCCCGCAACGAGCGCAACCCUUGUCUUAUGUUGCCAGCACGUUGUGGUGGGGACUCGUAAGAAACUGCCGGGGUUAACUCGGAGGAAGGUGGGGAUGACGUCAAAUCAUCAUGCCCCUUAUGUCCAGGGCUUCACACACGCUACAAUGGUCGGUACAGUGGGUUGCCAGUCCGUGAGGGCGAGCUAAUCCCGCAAAGCCGGUCUCAGUUCGGAUCGGGGUCUGCAACUCGACCCCGUGAAGUCGGAGUCGCUAGUAAUCGCAGAUCAGCAACGCUGCGGUGAAUACGUUCCCGGGCCU
rnacentral:rRNA from 1 species